rnacentral:rRNA from 1 species
ACAAGUGGCGGACGGGUGAGUAAUGUCUGGGAAACUGCCUGAUGGAGGGGGAUAACUACUGGAAACGGUAGCUAAUACCGUAUAACGUCGCAAGACCAAAGAGGGGGACCUUCGGGCCUCUUGCCAUCGGAUGUGCCCAGAUGGGAUUAGCUAGUAGGUGGGGUAACGGCUCACCUAGGCGACGAUCCCUAGCUGGUCUGAGAGGAUGACCAGCCACACUGGAACUGAGACACGGUCCAGACUCCUACGGGAGGCAGCAGUGGGGAAUAUUGCACAAUGGGCGCAAGCCUGAUGCAGCCAUGCCGCGUGUAUGAAGAAGGCCUUCGGGUUGUAAAGUACUUUCAGCGGGGAGGAAGGCGAUAAGGUUAAUAACCUUGUCGAUUGACGUUACCCGCAGAAGAAGCACCGGCUAACUCCGUGCCAGCAGCCGCGGUAAUACGGAGGGUGCAAGCGUUAAUCGGAAUUACUGGGCGUAAAGCGCACGCAGGCGGUCUGUCAAGUCGGAUGUGAAAUCCCCGGGCUCAACCUGGGAACUGCAUUCGAAACUGGCAGGCUAGAGUCUUGUAGAGGGGGGUAGAAUUCCAGGGGUAGCGGCGAAAUGCGUAGAGAUCUGGAGGAAUACCCGGUGGCGAAGGCGGCCCCCUGGACAAAGACUGGCGCUCAAGUGCGAAAGGCGUGGGGAGCAAAACAGGGAUUAGAUUACCCUGGUAGUCCACGCCGUAAACGAUGUCGCACUUGGAAGGUUUGUGGCCCUUGAGGCG